GUUAAUAUUUUUUCUACACAAACAUAUUACUAUCACUGUACCACGCAACCAUCAGCACCAAAAAGAAAAAAGAAGUAAAAUAAAUACCUUGCUCAUGGAGUUUUUAUAUGACUAGAUAAGACCAAAUGAUUAAGUAAAUAAUACAAAAAAGGAUUAGUGGUGCGGAGUCUUCUUCAGUAUUAAAUUUACUUCAUAAAAAGUGUGUUUCUCACUUCUCAUAUAAUUGGAAAUUAAUCAUUAGCGUAGUUUAUUAGUAAUUCCAUGUAUAAGUAAGCAGUUUAUUAUGUUAAAAGAGUUUUAGAUAUGGGUAAAAAUAACGUGGGUAUUGUUCUUAAUUGCAAGACAUAAUCUGCUUUGAGUGAAGAACUCGAUUAAAAAACGAAAUCAUCAGUAUAUAUAUUUCGUAAGAAUGAAGAAUUCUUCAAAAAAAGGAAACGGGCUAUACGGCAUGAUUUGAAACCAGGCUAGGUUCACAAUACCUCGCAAUUAUAGGUGCAUUCGUAUGAAUGGAAAUAAUUUUUUCGGCAGCUGGCCAUAUUUGGACAACUAAUCGGUCUUGUUUAUUACCGGAAAUUAUAGACCAGCUUAUCUUUUUUGCGGGAAAAAUGUAUAAAUUCAGGAAUAAUAGUAUUAUAUAAACCAUGUACACUUUAUAUAAACCUUUGUUUUGUAGAGAAAUUAAUUAUAUUUCGGAAUAAUUUAUUUGUACAGAAAAGAAAUUAUUAAAUAAUAAAAUAUCGAAAAAACU
rnacentral:lncRNA from 1 species